rnacentral:tRNA from 1 species
AAAAAGAUAAGCUAAAAAAGCUAUUAGGUUCAUACCCUAAUUAUAGAAGUAAAGCCUUCUUCUUUUUA